AUAGAGCAACAGUUUCUAUGUUGUCUAAAUUGCCCCCGAUAAUCUUUUUACUGGUCCAAAAAGUGAAACAAGAUUAUCGGGGGUUGUUUUU
rnacentral:antisense_RNA from 28 species